rnacentral:rRNA from 1 species
CACACUAUCAUUAACUGAAUCCAUAGGUUAAUGAGGCGAACCGGGGGAACUGAAACAUCUAAGUACCCCGAGGAAAAGAAAUCAACCGAGAUUCCCCCAGUAGCGGCGAGCGAACGGGGAGGAGCCCAGAGCCUGAAUCAGUGUGUGUGUUAGUGGAAGCGUCUGGAAAGGCGCGCGAUACAGGGUGACAGCCCCGUACACAAAAAUGCACAUGCUGUGAGCUCGAUGAGUAGGGCGGGACACGUGGUAUCCUGUCUGAAUAUGGGGGGACCAUCCUCCAAGGCUAAAUACUCCUGACUGACCGAUAGUGAACCAGUACCGUGAGGGAAAGGCGAAAAGAACCCCGGCGAGGGGAGUGAAAAAGAACCUGAAACCGUGUACGUACAAGCAGUGGGAGCCUCUUUUAUGGGGUGACUGCGUACCUUUUGUAUAAUGGGUCAGCGACUUAUAUUCUGUAGCAAGGUUAACCGAAUAGGGGAGCCGAAGGGAAACCGAGUCUUAACUGGGCGUUAAGUUGCAGGGUAUAGACCCGAAACCCGGUGAUCUAGCCAUGGGCAGGUUGAAGGUUGGGUAACACUAACUGGAGGACCGAACCGACUAAUGUUGAAAAAUUAGCGGAUGACUUGUGGCUGGGGGUGAAAGGCCAAUCAAACCGGGAGAUAGCUGGUUCUCCCCGAAAGCUAUUUAGGUAGCGCCUCGUGAAUUCAUCUCCGGGGGUAGAGCACUGUUUCGGCAAGGGGGUCAUCCCGACUUACCAACCCGAUGCAAACUGCGAAUACCGGAGAAUGUUAUCACGGGAGACACACGGCGGGUGCUAACGUCCGUCGUGAAGAGGGAAACAACCCAGACCGCCAGCUAAGGUCCCAAAGUCAUGGUUAAGUGGGAAACGAUGUGGGAAGGCCCAGACAGCCAGGAUGUUGGCUUAGAAGCAGCCAUCAUUUAAAGAAAGCGUAAUAGCUCACUGGUCGAGUCGGCCUGCGCGGAAGAUGUAACGGGGCUAAACCAUGCACCGAAGCUGCGGCAGCGACGCUUAUGCGUUGUUGGGUAGGGGAGCGUUCUGUAAGCCUGUGAAGGUGUACUGUGAGGUAUGCUGGAGGUAUCAGAAGUGCGAAUGCUGACAUAAGUAACGAUAAAGCGGGUGAAAAGCCCGCUCGCCGGAAGACCAAGGGUUCCUGUCCAACGUUAAUCGGGGCAGGGUGAGUCGACCCCUAAGGCGAGGCCGAAAGGCGUAGUCGAUGGGAAACAGGUUAAUAUUCCUGUACUUGGUGUUACUGCGAAGGGGGGACGGAGAAGGCUAUGUUGGCCGGGCGACGGUUGUCCCGGUUUAAGCGUGUAGGCUGGUUUUCCAGGCAAAUCCGGAAAAUCAAGGCUGAGGCGUGAUGACGAGGCACUACGGUGCUGAAGCAACAAAUGCCCUGCUUCCAGGAAAAGCCUCUAAGCAUCAGGUAACAUCAAAUCGUACCCCAAACCGACACAGGUGGUCAGGUAGAGAAUACCAAGGCGCUUGAGAGAACUCGGGUGAAGGAACUAGGCAAAAUGGUGCCGUAACUUCGGGAGAAGGCACGCUGAUAUGUAGGUGAAGCGACUUGCUCGUGGAGCUGAAAUCAGUCGAAGAUACCAGCUGGCUGCAACUGUUUAUUAAAAACACAGCACUGUGCAAACACGAAAGUGGACGUAUACGGUGUGACGCCUGCCCGGUGCCGGAAGGUUAAUUGAUGGGGUUAGCGGUAACGCGAAGCUCUUGAUCGAAGCCCCGGUAAACGGCGGCCGUAACUAUAACGGUCCUAAGGUAGCGAAAUUCCUUGUCGGGUAAGUUCCGACCUGCACGAAUGGCGUAAUGAUGGCCAGGCUGUCUCCACCCGAGACUCAGUGAAAUUGAACUCGCUGUGAAGAUGCAGUGUACCCGCGGCAAGACGGAAAGACCCCGUGAACCUUUACUAUAGCUUGACACUGAACAUUGAGCCUUGAUGUGUAGGAUAGGUGGGAGGCUUUGAAGUGUGGACGCCAGUCUGCAUGGAGCCGGCCUUGAAAUACCACCCUUUAAUGUUUGAUGUUCUAACGUUGGCCCCUGAUCGGGGUUGCGGACAGUGUCUGGUGGGUAGUUUGACUGGGGCGGUCUCCUCCUAAAGAGUAACGGAGGAGCACGAAGGUUGGCUAAUCCUGGUCGGACAUCAGGAGGUUAGUGCAAUGGCAUAAGCCAGCUUGACUGCGAGCGUGACGGCGCGAGCAGGUGCGAAAGCAGGUCAUAGUGAUCCGGUGGUUCUGAAUGGAAGGGCCAUCGCUCAACGGAUAAAAGGUACUCCGGGGAUAACAGGCUGAUACCGCCCAAGAGUUCAUAUCGACGGCGGUGUUUGGCACCUCGAUGUCGGCUCAUCACAUCCUGGGGCUGAAGUAGGUCCCAAGGGUAUGGCUGUUCGCCAUUUAAAGUGGUACGCGAGCUGGGUUUAGAACGUCGUGAGACAGUUCGGUCCCUAUCUGCCGUGGGCGCUGGAGAACUGAGGGGGGCUGCUCCUAGUACGAGAGGACCGGAGUGGACGCAUCACUGGUGUUCGGGUUGUCAUGCCAAUGGCACUGCCCGGUAGCUAAAUGCGGAAGAGAUAAGUGCUGAAAGCAUCUAAGCACGAAACUUGCCCCGAGAUGAGUUCUCCCUGAGACUUUAAGUCUCCUGAAGGAACGUUGAAGACGACGACGUUGAUAGGCCGGGUGUGUAAGCGCAGCGAUGCGUUGAGCUAACCGGUACUAAUGAACCGUGAGGCUUAACCUU